GUCGAAAUAGCUUAACUGGAUAAAGCACCCGUAAUGGGAUGUUGUUGGUUCAAAUCCAGCUUUCGGCA
rnacentral:tRNA from 1 species